UCACUUUUAUCGCUGGGACUCAGCUUAAUAAAUAAUCCACAUCAUCAAUUCAUCCAUGCACUACAGGCCAAGGAUAUUAUUUAGUAUCACGACCACGAAUUAUCCAUGCACUAGGGGCCAAAGAUAAUUGUGUUUUCAUCAACGGUCCUGAUCAUGCCAUAAAACAAUUCAUCUUUGCUCCCUUGGCCGAAGAGAAUUCAUAGCCAUAAUCAUACUAAAAACUGUUCAUCAAUGCACUACGGGCCAAUGAAGACUUUUUUCA
rnacentral:lncRNA from 1 species